GGGCGCUUAGCUCAGUUGGUAGAGCAGCUGACUCUUAAUCAGUAGGUCAAAGGUUCGAAUCCUUUAGCGCCCA
rnacentral:tRNA from 1 species